CAAAUCCCUUCCCAGAAGCUGCGUAUCACACAGACCACUCAGUGAGGAGCACAAACACCCACUUGCCAGUGGGGAGAUGUUUUUAUACAACAUCCGCUUCAUUUCCAGCCUGUGAAUCCUGACCCUCAAGGCUGUGGCAUGAUAGGUUGAGAGACAGAGGGAAAAGCAAGCAUGCCUGUGCCCUGUGUUGUUGCUGACUGCUUGGAAAAGCCAUCCAGAGGCCUGGGGAAACACAGUGACUCAACACGCUCAUUCUGGUGGGUGACAUCUUUGUGUUGUGAUGCAUGUAAGUGCAUCAGGAAACAAUUGAGCAUUCCACCCGUGCGUCAGGCUGACGGGAACUCACUCAGACCAGAGUCACGCAUUGGCACAUGUGACGUCGCGUCUUUGAAGGCACUGCUAGCAAUGGUUUCGGGAAAAUGCCAGCCGACUACAUACUGCUUGGCGAGAGGACAGUAAUGGAAACCAAGCCCUCCUACUAAAGGAAAUUCCAGGAGAUCUUCUCCAGAGCAGCGGGUCUCAUGACCGGCUGGGAUGCACGGCCCUUUGGUCAUCAUCCCGCUGUCUGGAGAAAGUCUGGUGUAAAUGAUGCCCUCAGACAUCGCGCUUCCUCUAGGACAGCUAACUUUUGCAUUUCAAGCAAGAGCCUGGGGGUGAAGCAGCAUGUGCAAAACAGGCACGCGCUGGUUAUGGGGAUGUGGGCUCAAGAGAAAUGUGCACCAUCUUGACAGGGUAGACUUAGAGAACGCAGCGUCAUGAAUAGCAGGCAAUUUGCAAGAGUUAGGAGGAGGAGCAGGGAUUUUUGUUGCUUGCAGCAGGAGAGCCUUUCAUGGUGCUGAAGUGUCACAUUAGGAAGCUGUACAGAAAAUGAGCAUCCUGGCAGUGGCACUGACUCUGCAGUCAUUCAUAUACCAGAGUGAUGUAUUCUUCCUCAGAAAGACAAGAGCUUUGUCUGUGAAAAAAAGCCUGUGCACAAAUUUCAGCCAAAGGGAAAAAAAAAGUCGUGCCUCCCACUUGCCUUCAUUUUUAUGGCCCAUUUGCAAUCUUUUUCCAGGGUUUUCAGCAGCCACCUCAAUCUCCCUGCAGAAGUCCCUUAGGACUGCCUGUUCCAAUAUAAACUUUACUGCAGCAGCUUUCCCAGGUGACUGACUCCUGCAGCUAUUCUCUCUUCUCUAGCUCUGCCUGGAUCCACUACUUACUGCCAAAUCCUUGAUGUUUUUCUGACGUCCCCAUGUCUGUGAAUAGCAGAUGUUGUCUGACUUCCUAUCUCUUCCUUUACACUGCCUUUGUCCACCUCUUAAAGCUUCACAUUUUCAAAGAGUGGGCAAACUUUUCCAGCCUUUUACUGUACAUCUGGCAGUCUGCUGGAACCUUCCUAAAUCAGUGUAUUUCAAGUGCAGUGGUGCUAGAUGUUGGAGGGGCCUCACUGAGAGUCCUGUAGGAUAAAUUCUUCCACCAUCUCAUCCUUGGCUUUGCUUGCAUUCUUCCAGAUCAGUGUAGUACCUCAUAUACUCUGACAAGCUGUGCUUAGAGACACCAUCCCAUCUCUCCAUGCAUACCUAAGGGUUGGCUGUGUUGUUGAAGGUGCCCACUGAGCUUUUUCCUGUUUGAACAUAGAUCAUAGAAUCAUAAAAUGGCCUGGAUUGGAAAGUACCUCAAAGAUCAUAUAGUUUCAAUCCCCCUGCCACUAGAUCAGACUGCCCAGAGCCACAUCCAGCUUGGUAUUCAAAGCCACCAGGGAUGGGGCAUCCGCAGCCUCUCAGGGCAACCUGUUCCAGUGUGUUACCACUAAACAUAGAUGUGGGGGACCUGAGAUGUCCCCAGUUUUGAGAGGCUUGGUAGGUGUUGAGAAAUGCUGUCCUUUCGAGGGUCACUUGAUUGGUGACUGUGGCAGUGCUAAUGCCUUCCUCAGAACAGUCUGCCUUCUGUGCCUUGGACUCCACUGCUUUUCCAGCAGUCUUGGGAGCACUUUGGCUUCCAGGACUGGGCAGGAGUGGAUGGCUGUGAUCACCCGGGUAUGAAAUGCAUCCUGCACGGGAUGGCUUCAGCUUGUUCCUGCCUGCAUCCGUUCCAGCCCAUAGACGAGCCAGAAGAGCUGUUCUUGUAGCUGAAAGGGGAGCUGGAGAGUGGCUGUAGAUGAAGUUUGGACUCAGGACUUCUGUUCCUGCAGCUUCCUAGAAACAGUUCUAACCAAGUGCAAUGCAUGUGGCUGCUGAGUUACCAACCUUAAUCUUUUUCCUCUCUCCCGUAACCAGUUUCCAUAAGUGUUGUGAGGCCAGCUCAAGAAAAAAAAAAAGAAAAAGAAAAAAAUCCAACAAAAACCCAUCCCUGUUGAGGGAAAAGGUUAGUUAAGUGAAUACAUUUCCUGUACAUCAAAUGACUGAAGACAUACAGGUUUCCUGGUUUCCAGGGCACCAUAAAAUGAAACACAAUAGAGAGGGAGAAUGAGAUUAAUGGGAAAAACGUCAUAUUCUGCUCUCAGCCAGAGCAGCCGCACCAAAAGCAGCGGGACUGUGCCAGUGCAGCAAUGAGCAGGAUUUGGCCUUGAAUCUGUUAAAUAAGGAUAUUACCAGAGUACCAGAUUACACAGCUGAGUUCUCUGAAACAAAUCCUGCUAAAGUAGAAAGGAUUUGUUAGAAGGCUGCAAGGUCAGGAAAGCGAGGUUAAUGGUUUAGCAGCCUUUGAUGGGGACUACAGGCAAUGGCUCUGCCCAGCAUUUCACAUCUUUUGCUUUGUCAUUUAAAAACUUGUGAAAAAGGGAAUGAGAUGUUCUCCUUUCUUUCUCUUCAGUAUUUGCACAGUUGGAGUUAUUCUUACUCUGUGCUUUCUUUUUUCCCCUUCAGAAAGCAAGUGCUUCAAUGCCCUUAUUUUCUAAAUAAACUGAACAUGCCCACACA
rnacentral:lncRNA from 1 species